UACGUAGGGGGCGAGCGUUGUCCGGAUUUAUUGGGCGUAAAGAGCGUGUAGGCGGCCAGGUAGGUCUGCUGUGAAAACUCGAGGCUCAACCUCGAGACGUCGGCGGAAACCAUCUGGCUAGAGUCCGGAAGAGGAGAGUGGAAUUCCUGGUGUAGCGGUGAAAUGCGCAGAUAUCAGGAAGAACACCCGUGGCGAAGGCGGCUCUCUGGGACGGUACCGACGCUGAGACGCGAAAGCGUGGGGAGCGAACAGG
rnacentral:rRNA from 1 species